CAUGGGGGAACCCUGAUGCAGCGACGCCGCGUGGAGGAAGAAGGUCUUCCNNAUUGUAAACUCCUGUUGUUGGGGAAGAUAAUGACGGUACCCAACAAGGAAGUGACGGCUAACUACGUGCCAGCAGCCGCGGUAAAACGUAGGUCACAAGCGUUGUCCGGAAUUACUGGGUGUAAAGGGAGCGCAGGCGGGAAGACAAGUUGGAAGUGAAAACCAUGGGCUCAACCCAUGAAUUGCUUUCAAAACUGUUUUUCUUGAGUAGUGCAGAGGUAGAUGGAAUUCCCGGUGUAGCGGUGGAAUGCGUAGAUAUCGGGAGGAACACCAGUGGCGAAGGCGGCCUACUGGGCACCAACUGACGCUGAGGCUCGAAAGUGUGGGUAGCAAACAGGAUUAGAUACCCUGGUAGUCCAAGGGCGAAUUC
rnacentral:rRNA from 1 species